rnacentral:siRNA from 1 species
UCUGGUCAGGGUGUUUGUACGA